rnacentral:lncRNA from 1 species
AGCGGCUCAGCCAAAGCGGAGGAGCGGCGUCAGCGGCGUCUCGCCCUCGAGAAGCAGCCUUGCAGGUUGGGAUGGAGAAAGGCCGGGACUUGGGAGUCAGGACGAGGUUGUCUCCUAGCGUGUGGAGAUUGUACUCUCCUCGCCCCGAGCACUCCGCUUCCGCUCCGCCUCCCGGCCCGGCACUUCCCCCACUCCGGGGCUGGCGGCCGAGGCGCGCGGCAUUGUGGGGGAUGUAGUUCCAGCAGAAGGAAGUGGCGGCACGUGCUCCAAGCUGCCAGACUCCAACUCCUUAACUGCGCGACGCCGUUGCCUGGCAACCGUAGGACAACUGGCUCCUCCCUCCAGCUCAAAGGAGAAGCUGGGAGAAGCUAUCUCCGCCCUAACUCUCUGCAGGCGCUGAAAGAGUUUACCUUGACUCAACUUCCGGGAAGAUGGUGGAGUGGUAAACAGCUGAGAAACAGCCUCUCUGAGAUUUGACGUCCAGACACUGGACUACAGCAAUGUGAGCAAGAGAAAAAGGAAAGAACUGUGUCCCCAGGACCCAGCAAAGAUCUGAAGCAAGAAUUGAAGCUCACUGAGAGAGCAAGACAGACACCCCAAUGCAGAAGAAGGAAGUAGCAAGGGUGCUUUCUCCCUGAGUCCUGAAUCACUGUGUGGGUGGGGAAGCGCUAUCCUGCAGACACAGUGUGACUACUGGUCACAGACUCCAUGGAGAAAGAUACUAGUGGAAUGGAGUAGUGGAUGCAGUGUGCUGCAGUGGCUGGUGAGGUAUUCAGGUUCAGAUGUCCCCCAGAAAAGGGUGAUUGACCAGUAGCAUCUUUAAGAGAGGACAACUCAGCUUGGAACUCAGAGCAUCUGCAUGCUGGCUCCAUCAAGUGGCUCCAGAUGUCAGAGUGAGGAAGAAUCAAAUUCAAGUGGGCAGGAGAUCAAGGAGACCAGUUCAAGCCAGCAGAAGGCACAUGGACUGCUGCAGCAACACAGCCAGAAACCUGCCUGAAUUUCAGUAGAACUAAAGGUGGAGGCUUGCUAGGAUUAUCCACUGCCACACCGCAAGUCUACCGCUGGUUUACUGGGAUUAAUCAACACAGAUCUGGGCUCUGUCUACCUGAUUUAUCUAUCAAUGUGAGUAGCAACAUGCCAUGAAAUAGACAUUCUUUCUUUCUUUUUUUCUUUUCUUUUUUUUCUUGUUUUUCUUUUGUUUUCUUUUUCCUUGUUCUCAUUUUUAUGAGUGUGAACAUUGUUUUUAGUUUUCUUUUUGUUGUUGUUGUUCUAUUCUGUUCUUCUUUUUAUUUCUACCUUAUUCCUUUCCCUCUUCAUCAAUUUCCCAAAGUUCAUGUAAUCAUCCUGUGUCCCCAGUCUUACUUCUAAUCUCUUAUUCUUCUAUUUUUCUAUUUUCCCC